rnacentral:rRNA from 1 species
UACGAAGGGGGCUAGCGUUGUUCGGAAUCACUGGGCGUAAAGGGCGCGUAGGCGGCUUUAUAAGUCGGGGGUGAAAGCCUGUGGCUCAACCACAGAAUUGCCUUCGAUACUGCAGAGCUUGAGACCGGAAGAGGUAAGUGGAACUGCGAGUGUAGAGGUGAAAUUCGUAGAUAUUCGCAAGAACACCAGUGGCGAAGGCGGCUUACUGGUCCGGUUCUGACGCUGAGGCGCGAAAGCGUGGGGAGCAAACAGG